UACAGAGGGUGCGAGCGUUGUCCGGAAUCACUGGGCGUAAAGGGCGCGUAGGUGGCGGCCCAAGUCCAUGGUGAAAGCUCGAUGCUCAACAUCGAGUCGGCCACGGAUACUGGGUUGCUCGAGCACUGUAGGGGCAGAUGGAAUUCCGGGUGUAGCGGUGGAAUGCGUAGAGAGUCCGGAAGAGCACCGGUGGCGAAGGCGGUCUGCUGGGCAGUUGCUGACACUGAGGCGCGACAGCGUGGGGAGCAAACAGG
rnacentral:rRNA from 1 species